rnacentral:rRNA from 1 species
UACGUAGGUGGCAAGCGUUGUCCGGAUUUAUUGGGUUUAAAGGGUGCGUAGGCGGUCCUAUAAGUCAGUGCUGAAAUAUCCCGGCUUAACCGGGAGGGUGGCAUUGAUACUGCAGGACUUGAGUAAAGUUGAGGUAGGCGGAAUUGACGGUGUAGCGGUGAAAUGCUUAGAUAUCGUCAAGAACACCAAUAGUGUAGACAGCUUACUAAGCUUAACUGACGCUGAGGCACGAAAGUGUGGAGAUCAAACAGG